UUAAGCGACUAAGCGUACACGGUGGAUGCCCUGGCAGUCAGAGGCGAUGAAGGACGUGCUAAUCUGCGAUAAGCGUCGGUAAGGUGAUAUGAACCGUUAUAACCGGCGAUUUCCGAAUGGGGAAACCCAGUGUGUUUCGACACACUAUCAUUAACUGAAUCCAUAGGUUAAUGAGGCGAACCGGGGGAACUGAAACAUCUAAGUACCCCGAGGAAAAGAAAUCAACCGAGAUUCCCCCAGUAGCGGCGAGCGAACGGGGAGCAGCCCAGAGCCUGAAUCAGUGUGUGUGUUAGUGGAAGCGUCUGGAAAGGCGCGCGAUACAGGGUGACAGCCCCGUACACAAAAAUGCACAUACUGUGAGCUCGAUGAGUAGGGCGGGACACGUGGUAUCCUGUCUGAAUAUGGGGGGACCAUCCUCCAAGGCUAAAUACUCCUGACUGACCGAUAGUGAACCAGUACCGUGAGGGAAAGGCGAAAAGAACCCCGGCGAGGGGAGUGAAAAAGAACCUGAAACCGUGUACGUACAAGCAGUGGGAGCCUCUUUUAUGGGGUGACUGCGUACCUUUUGUAUAAUGGGUCAGCGACUUAUAUUCUGUAGCAAGGUUAACCGAAUAGGGGAGCCGAAGGGAAACCGAGUCUUAACCGGGCGUUAAGUUGCAGGGUAUAGACCCGAAACCCGGUGAUCUAGCCAUGGGCAGGUUGAAGGUUGGGUAACACUAACUGGAGGACCGAACCGACUAAUGUUGAAAAAUUAGCGGAUGACUUGUGGCUGGGGGUGAAAGGCCAAUCAAACCGGGAGAUAGCUGGUUCUCCCCGAAAGCUAUUUAGGUAGCGCCUCGUGAAUUCAUCUCCGGGGGUAGAGCACUGUUUCGGCAAGGGGGUCAUCCCGACUUACCAACCCGAUGCAAACUGCGAAUACCGGAGAAUGUUAUCACGGGAGACACACGGCGGGUGCUAACGUCCGUCGUGAAGAGGGAAACAACCCAGACCGCCAGCUAAGGUCCCAAAGUCAUGGUUAAGUGGGAAACGAUGUGGGAAGGCCCAGACAGCCAGGAUGUUGGCUUAGAAGCAGCCAUCAUUUAAAGAAAGCGUAAUAGCUCACUGGUCGAGUCGGCCUGCGCGGAAGAUGUAACGGGGCUAAACCAUGCACCGAAGCUGCGGCAGCGACACUGUGUGUUGUUGGGUAGGGGAGCGUUCUGUAAGCCUGUGAAGGUGUGCUGUGAGGCAUGCUGGAGGUAUCAGAAGUGCGAAUGCUGACAUAAGUAACGAUAAAGCGGGUGAAAAGCCCGCUCGCCGGAAGACCAAGGGUUCCUGUCCAACGUUAAUCGGGGCAGGGUGAGUCGACCCCUAAGGCGAGGCCGAAAGGCGUAGUCGAUGGGAAACAGGUUAAUAUUCCUGUACUUGGUGUUACUGCGAAGGGGGGACGGAGAAGGCUAUGUUGGCCGGGCGACGGUUGUCCCGGUUUAAGCGUGUAGGCUGGUUUUCCAGGCAAAUCCGGAAAAUCAAGGCUGAGGCGUGAUGACGAGGCACUACGGUGCUGAAGCAACAAAUGCCCUGCUUCCAGGAAAAGCCUCUAAGCAUCAGGUAACAUCAAAUCGUACCCCAAACCGACACAGGUGGUCAGGUAGAGAAUACCAAGGCGCUUGAGAGAACUCGGGUGAAGGAACUAGGCAAAAUGGUGCCGUAACUUCGGGAGAAGGCACGCUGAUAUGUAGGUGAAGUCCCUCGCGGAUGGAGCUGAAAUCAGUCGAAGAUACCAGCUGGCUGCAACUGUUUAUUAAAACACAGCACUGUGCAAACACGAAAGUGGACGUAUACGGUGUGACGCCUGCCCGGUGCCGGAAGGUUAAUUGAUGGGGUCAGCGCAAGCGAAGCUCUUGAUCGAAGCCCCGGUAAACGGCGGCCGUAACUAUAACGGUCCUAAGGUAGCGAAAUUCCUUGUCGGGUAAGUUCCGACCUGCACGAAUGGCGUAAUGAUGGCCAGGCUGUCUCCACCCGAGACUCAGUGAAAUUGAACUCGCUGUGAAGAUGCAGUGUACCCGCGGCAAGACGGAAAGACCCCGUGAACCUUUACUAUAGCUUGACACUGAACAUUGAGCCUUGAUGUGUAGGAUAGGUGGGAGGCUUUGAAGUGUGGACGCCAGUCUGCAUGGAGCCGACCUUGAAAUACCACCCUUUAAUGUUUGAUGUUCUAACGUGGACCCGUGAUCCGGGUUGCGGACAGUGUCUGGUGGGUAGUUUGACUGGGGCGGUCUCCUCCUAAAGAGUAACGGAGGAGCACGAAGGUUGGCUAAUCCUGGUCGGACAUCAGGAGGUUAGUGCAAUGGCAUAAGCCAGCUUGACUGCGAGCGUGACGGCGCGAGCAGGUGCGAAAGCAGGUCAUAGUGAUCCGGUGGUUCUGAAUGGAAGGGCCAUCGCUCAACGGAUAAAAGGUACUCCGGGGAUAACAGGCUGAUACCGCCCAAGAGUUCAUAUCGACGGCGGUGUUUGGCACCUCGAUGUCGGCUCAUCACAUCCUGGGGCUGAAGUAGGUCCCAAGGGUAUGGCUGUUCGCCAUUUAAAGUGGUACGCGAGCUGGGUUUAGAACGUCGUGAGACAGUUCGGUCCCUAUCUGCCGUGGGCGCUGGAGAACUGAGGGGGGCUGCUCCUAGUACGAGAGGACCGGAGUGGACGCAUCACUGGUGUUCGGGUUGUCAUGCCAAUGGCACUGCCCGGUAGCUAAAUGCGGAAGAGAUAAGUGCUGAAAGCAUCUAAGCACGAAACUUGCCCCGAGAUGAGUUCUCCCUGACCCUUUAAGGGUCCUGAAGGAACGUUGAAGACGACGACGUUGAUAGGCCGGGUGUGUAAGCGCAGCGAUGCGUUGAGCUAACCGGUACUAAUGAACCGUGAGGCUUAACCU
rnacentral:rRNA from 1 species